rnacentral:rRNA from 1 species
AACGAACGCUGGCGGCAUGCCUAACACAUGCAAGUCGAGCGCCCGUAGCAAUACGGGAGCGGCGCACGGGUGAGUAACGCGUGGGAACCUGCCCAGAGGUUCGGGACAACCGCGGGAAACUGCGGCUGAUACCGGAUGAUACCUGAGGGUCAAAGAUUUAUCGCCUUUGGAGGGGCCCGCGUCGGAUUAGGUAGUUGGUGGGGUAACGGCCUACCAAGCCUAUGAUCCGUAACUGGUCUGAGAGGAUGACCAGUCACACUGGGACUGAGACACGGCCCAGACUCCUACGGGAGGCAGCAGUGGGGAAUAUUGGACAAUGGGCGAAAGCCUGAUCCAGCCAUGCCGCGUGUGUGAAGAAGGUCUUCGGAUUGUAAAGCACUUUAAGUUGGGAGGAAGAGUUGUAAGCUAAUAUCUUGCAGCUUUGACGUUACCAACAGAAUAAGCACCGGCUAACUCUGUGCCAGCAGCCGCGGUAAAAC